rnacentral:rRNA from 1 species
AUUGAACGCUGGCGGCAUGCUUUACACAUGCAAGUCGAACGGUAACAGGCCGCAAGGUGCUGACGAGUGGCGAACGGGUGAGUAAUGCAUCGGAACGUGCCCAGUCGUGGGGGAUAACGCAGCGAAAGCUGCGCUAAUACCGCAUACGAUCUCUGGAUGAAAGCGGGGGACCGAAAGGCCUCGCGCGAUUGGAGCGGCCGAUGUCAGAUUAGGUGGUUGGUGGGGUAAAGGCCCACCAAGCCAACGAUCUGUAGCUGGUCUGAGAGGACGACCAGCCACACUGGGACUGAGACACGGCCCAGACUCCUACGGGAGGCAGCAGUGGGGAAUUUUGGACAAUGGGCGCAAGCCUGAUCCAGCAAUGCCGCGUGCAGGAAGAAGGCCUUCGGGUUGUAAACUGCUUUUGUACGGAACGAAACGGUCCGGGUUAAUACCCUGGGCUAAUGACGGUACCGUAAGAAUAAGCACCGGCUAACUACGUGCCAGCAGCCGCGGUAAAAC